rnacentral:rRNA from 1 species
AACGAACGCUGGCGGCGUGCCUAACACAUGCAAGUCGAACGGAAUAAGGGGCUUGCUCCUUAUUUAGUGGCGCACGGGUGAGUAACGCGUAGAUAAUCUGCCUGAUGAUCUGGGAUAACAUUUCGAAAGAGGUGCUAAUACCGGAUAAGCCCACGACGGCCUUGGUCGACGCGGGAAAAGGGGGGGACCAUUUGGCCUUCUGUCAUCAGAUGAGUCUGCGUACCAUUAGCUAGUUGGUGGGGUAAAGGCCUACCAAGGCUACGAUGGUUAGCUGGUCUGAGAGGAUGAUCAGGCACACUGGAACUGAGACACGGUCCAGACUCCUACGGGAGGCAGCAGUGGGGAAUUUUGCGCAAUGGGCGAAAGCCUGACGCAGCAACGCCGCGUGAGUGAUGAAGGCUUUCGGGUCGUAAAGCUCUGUCAAUGGGAAAGAAGUGUAUUGUAGCUAAUAUCUGCGAUACUUGACGGUACCCAUAAAGGAAGCACCGGCUAACUCCGUGCCAGCAGCCGCCGUAA